rnacentral:rRNA from 1 species
UACGAAGGGGGCUAGCGUUGUUCGGAUUUACUGGGCGUAAAGCGCACGUAGGCGGAUCGUUAAGUCGGGGGUGAAAUCCUGGAGCUCAACUCCAGAACUGCCUUCGAUACUGGCGAUCUUGAGUCCGGAAGAGGUGAGUGGAACUCCUAGUGUAAAGGUGGAAUUCGUAGAUAUUAGGAAGAACACCAGUGGCGAAGGCGGCUCACUGGUCCGGUACUGACGCUGAGGUGCGAAAGCGUGGGGAGCAAACAGG